UACGUAGGGUGCGAGCGUUGUCCGGAAUUAUUGGGCGUAAAGAGCUCGUAGGCGGUGUGUCACGUCGGCCGUGAAAACCUGCAGCUUAACUGUGGGCGUGCGGUCGAUACGGGCAUCACUGGAGUUCGGCAGGGGAGACUGGAAUUCCUGGUGUAGCGGUGAAAUGCGCAGAUAUCAGGAGGAACACCGGUGGCGAAGGCGGGUCUUUGGGCCGAUACUGACGCUGAGGAGCGAAAGCGUGGGGAGCGAACAGG
rnacentral:rRNA from 1 species